rnacentral:rRNA from 1 species
UACGUAGGAGGCAAGCGUUGUCCGGAAUUACUGGGCGUAAAGCGCGUGUAGGUGGUGGGACAAGUCUGCUGUGAAAGCGCCUGGCUUAACCGGGCGAGGUCGGCGGAAACUGUCCGACUAGAGGACGGUAGAGGGGGGUGGAAUUCCCGGUGUAGUGGUGAAAUGCGUAGAGAUCGGGAGGAACACCGGUGGCGAAGGCGGCGAUCUGGGUCGAUACUGACGCUGAGGUGCGAAAGCGUGGGGAGCAAACAGGG